rnacentral:ncRNA from 1 species
CGUCUUCGGGGCGGGGUGCAACUCCCCACCGGCGGUAUGACAAGCCCGCGACCUUCCGCAAAGCGGAAGCUGAACCGGUGAAAUUCCGGUGCCGACAGUGACAGUCUGGAUGAGAGAGGACA